AAAUUGAAGAGUUUGAUCAUGGCUCAGAUUGAACGCUGGCGGCAGGCCUAACACAUGCAAGUCGAGCGGUAGCACAGAGAGCUUGCUCUCGGGUGACGAGCGGCGGACGGGUGAGUAAUGUCUGGGAAACUGCCUGAUGGAGGGGGAUAACUACUGGAAACGGUAGCUAAUAUCGCAUAAUGUCGCAAGACCAAAGUGGGGGACCUUCGGGCCUCAUGCCAUCAGAUGUGCCCAGAUGGGAUUAGCUAGUAGGUGGGGUAA
rnacentral:rRNA from 1 species